rnacentral:rRNA from 1 species
GGUUGCGAUCAUACCAGCAAUAAUGCACCGGAUCCCAUCAGAACUCCGCAGUUAAGCGUGCUUGGGCGAGAGUAGUAUUAGGAUGGGUGACCCCCUGGGAAGUCCUCGUGUUGCAACCC